AGAAGCUGUUCUCUGAUUGGUUCAUCGUUGGAACACCGGGAAACCAUGGAUUUCAAACCGUUUUGGCUCGGAGCAGGACCGGCAUGGUACCAGAAAGACUUCCAUUUGGCAGCUGUGUGUUCUGCAGCAUAUAUGGCUUAGUGGAGUCAUUGAAACAUUGUCAGUCAGAUGUUUUUCCAAGGCCAUCAGUAGGACGUGGUUGUGAAAGACUGGUGGAAGAUCAGAGGGCUCUACUCCACAUGCUGACACAUUGAGAAUAAAUGAAAUCUAAUAAUUAGGAGAGAAUGAGCAACACUCAUAUCUGGCACAUAUAUAACGAAUGAAGAUGUUAAAAACUGACUCAACACGUUGCUUUGCUUGCGCUCAACAGAAGUAAUGAAAAAUUACCUCUUUGUAAGACUAACUCACUGUGCUAAUUCCUUACAAUAAUUGGCACCAGUGUUGCUAUAACUCAUUAUUAGUUGCAUAUCAAUUAGCUUGAA